rnacentral:rRNA from 1 species
CGCGAAGAACCUUACCUAGACUUGACAUCUCCUGCAUUACCCUUAAUCGGGGAAGUUCCUUCGGGAACAGGAAGACAGGUGGUGCAUGGUUGUCGUCAGCUCGUGUCGUGAGAUGUUGGGUUAAGUCCCACAACGAGCGCAACCCUUAUUGUUAGUUGCUACCAUUUAGUUGAGCACUCUAGCGAGACUGCCCGGGUUAACCGGGAGGAAGGUGGGGAUGACGUCAAAUCAUCAUGCCCCUUAUGUCUAGGGCUACACACGUGCUACAAUGGCAAGUACAAAGAGAAGCAAGACCGCGAGGUGGAGCAGAACUCAAAAACUUGUCUCAGUUCGGAUUGUAGGCUGAAACUCGCCUACAUGAAGCUGGAGUUGCUAGUAAUCGCGAAUCAGCAUGUCGCGGUGAAUACGUUCCCGGGUCUUGUACACACC